UACGGAGGGUGCAAACGUUGCUCGGAAUCAUUGGGCGUAAAGCGCACGUAGGCGGCUUGUUAAGUCGGGUGUGAAAUCCCUGGGCUCAACCCAGGAAGUGCACUCGAAACUGGCGAGCUUGAGUAUGGAAGAGGGUCGCGGAAUUCCCGGUGUAGAGGUGAAAUUCGUAGAUAUCGGGAGGAACACCAGUGGCGAAGGCGGCGACCUGGGCCGAUACUGACGCUGAGGAGCGAAAGCGUGGGGAGCGAACAGG
rnacentral:rRNA from 1 species